ACAGGUAGACGAUUCUUGGUCAUUUAGAGGAAGUAAAAGUCGUAACAAGGUUUCCGUAGGUGAACCUGCGGAAGGAUCAUUACAGAGUUCAUGCCCUUCGGGGUAGAUCUCCCACCCUUGUGUAUCAUUAUAGAAUGUUGCUUUGGCGGGCCGCGCCUAGUGUGCCUGGAUUCGCGUUCAGCGUGCCCGCCAGAGGACCCCUAAACUCUGAAUGUUAGUGUCGUCUGAGUACUAUUAAAUAGUUAAAACUUUCAACAACGGAUCUCUUGGUUCUGGCAUCGAUGAAGAACGCAGCGAAAUGCGAUAAGUAAUGUGAAUUGCAGAAUUCAGUGAAUCAUCGAAUCUCUGAACGCACAUUGCGCCCCCUGGUAUUCCGGGGGGCAUGCCUGUUCGAGCGUCAUUUAUACCAAUCUAGCCCGGCUAGGUGUUGGGCUUCGCCGUUUGGCGGGCCUUAAAACCAGUGGCGGUGCUCUUAGGCUCUACGCGUAGUAAUUUUCUCGCUAUAGGGUCCUGGGAGAUGCUUGCCAGCAACCCCAAAUUUUUCUUAGGUUGACCUCGGAUCAGGUAGGGAUACCCGCUGAACUUAAGCAUAUCAAUAAGCGGAGGAAAA
rnacentral:rRNA from 1 species